rnacentral:rRNA from 1 species
GUGGGGAAUAUUGGACAAUGGGCGCAAGCCUGAUCCAGCCAUGCCGCGUGAGUGAUGAAGGCCUUAGGGUUGUAAAGCUCUUUCAGUGGGGACGAUAAUGACGGUACCCACAGAAGAAGCCUCGGCUAACUUCAUGCCAGCAGCCGCGGUAAUACGAAGGGGGCUAGCGUUGUUCGGAUUUACUGGGCGUAAAGCGCACGUAGGCGGAUCGUUAAGUCGGGGGUGAAAUCCUGGGGCUCAACUCCAGAACUGCCUUCGAUACUGGCGAUCUUGAGUCCGGAAGAGGUGAGUGGAACUCCUAGUGUAGAGGUGGAAUUCGUAGAUAUUAGGAAGAACACCAGUGGCGAAGGCGGCUCACUGGUCCGGUACUGACGCUGAGGUGCGAAAGCGUGGGGAGCAAACAGGAUUAGAUACCCUUGUAGUCC